GAAAUAUUGAAAAGAGCAAACAGAAAAGAAAAGAAAAAAGGCAGGGGGCUUCCUUGCAUGUAUGUUCUGUUGUGCGGUUUGCUUUAUAUUUUAACUCAUCUUCCUCGUUAAAGUAAUCCCACUUAAUCUAUCUCUCUAUUUCCUUCUUCUUCUUCUUCUUCUUCUUCUUCGUCUUCUUGGGUUUGGCUGUGUAUGUGAGUUGAGAUUCAAUCAAUGGCUUCAACUGCUUCAAAGUUCAUAAAAUGUGUGACUGUUGGUGAUGGCGCCGUAGGUAAAACCUGUAUGCUCAUCUGCUACACCAGCAACAAAUUCCCUACUGACUACAUACCAACAGUUUUUGACAACUUUAGUGCAAACGUUGUAGUUGAAGGCACCACUGUGAACCUAGGCCUAUGGGACACUGCUGGGCAAGAAGACUACAACAGAUUAAGGCCUUUAAGUUACAGAGGAGCAGAUGUUUUCGUCCUGUCUUUCUCCUUGGUCAGCCGAGCUAGCUACGAGAAUGUUUUUAAAAAGUGGAUCCCUGAACUCCAACACUUUGCCCCAGGAGUUCCAUUAGUCCUUGUUGGUACCAAACUAGAUCUCCGUGAAGAUAAGCAUUAUUUGGCUGACCAUCCUGGACUAUCCCCUGUAACUACUGCACAGGGAGAGGAAUUGCGUAAGCUAAUCGGUGCGACAUAUUACAUUGAAUGUAGCUCGAAAACUCAACAGAAUGUGAAAGCAGUUUUUGAUUCAGCGAUCAAGGAAGUGAUCAAACCGGUGGUUAAACAAAAGGCGAAGACGCAGAAAACGAAGAAGCAAAAGUCUAAUCAUGGCUGUUUAUCAAACGUUCUGUGUGGGAGGAUAGUGACUCGGCAUUGAUGUUGAUGGCAAAAGUCCACCACUCUUGAGUUUGUGUUAUAAAAUGAGUUACAUAUAUAUGUAUGGAAUCAUGUAAGAGAGAUGAUUAGCCUCUAAUCAAUCAAUAGUUUACAUUGUAAGAGAGAUAGAGAGCGCUUACUUAUUACUAACUCAAUUAUGUUUAAAUGUUUAUAUUAGCAUUUUUGUUUGUAACAGAGAAUAAAAAGUUCUGAUGAGAUGAGAGCCAAGAAACGGCUUGAGAAGAAACCAGUAGUGGAUCAGUCCCAAAGGCAGUCAAUGAUCAAAACGCAGAGUUUCAUCAAAACAUCACGGAACAUAAUUCCAAUGGGCCGGAGAAACAGUCUUGCCAAACUUGGGCCUUAACCGGCUCACAGUAAAUAUACCUUUUCCUUUCUUUUUGUUUGCUCUUUUUAAAAAGGACCUUUUGUGUUAGACACGGUAAAAAGGUUGAAAGAUAACACUAUUGCCCACACUUAUACAUCACGACAUCACGUCAC